rnacentral:rRNA from 1 species
CGAAUUCGCCCUUCCUACGGGAGGCAGCAGUGGGGAAUAUUGCGCAAUGGGCGGAAGCCUGACGCAGCGACGCCGCGUGGGGGAUGACGGCCUUCGGGUUGUAAACCUCUUUCGACCUUGACGAAGCCUUUUGGGGUGACGGUAGGGGUAGAAGAAGCACCGGCCAACUACGUGCCAGCAGCCGCGGUAAUACGUAGGGUGCGAGCGUUGUCCGGAAUUAUUGGGCGUAAAGAGCUCGUAGGCGGUCUGUCGCGUCGGUCGUGAAAACUUGGGGCUUAACCCUGAGCUUGCGGUCGAUACGGGCAUGACUGGAGUUCGGCAGGGGAGACUGGAAUUCCUGGUGUAGCGGUGAAAUGCGCAGAUAUCAGGAGGAACACCGGUGGCGAAGGCGGGUCUCUGGGCCGAUACUGACGCUGAGGAGCGAAAGCGUGGGGAGCGAACAGGAUUAGAUACCCUGGUAGUCCACGCCGUAAACGGUGGGCGCUAGGUGUGGGGGCCAUUCCACGGUCUCUGUGCCGCAGCUAACGCAUUAAGCGCCCCGCCUGGGGAGUACGGCCGC